rnacentral:lncRNA from 1 species
AAUGCGAAGGCUAAAGGAAGCUGAAAGACAAGUCCUGUUCUCCUCCUAACGCUGAUACGAAGAUUCCUAACGCUGAAGAAUGGAAGAUAAGAUUAGACCAAAUCAAUCACCACGUAAGCUAGAGUGUUUUGCUUGUUCGGUGUACUUUCAUAAGAGAAGGAAGCCCAACUCCAUAAAUGCGCUAAGUGAUCCAAGUCGUGUGAGGAUGCAGGCGCAAGUCAGAGGUAAGCCGCAUAAGGUGUUUCAAGAGACUCCGCUGUAUCAGAAGCUGGGCCCCUACUCCGUUUCAAGAUAAGAAUAUGGAUAAGCUGAGGGAUCAGAGGCAUUAUAGGCAGAAUAAGGAUUAGGAUCAUCAGCAGAAUGCCCAGUUCCUGUUUCAUCGGAUUCAGAAGAUGAUCUCAAUGCAAGUAGUUUCAUCGAGAGUUUCAUCCUAUUACUAUUACUAUGUAAGAAGCCCAGAAUCCAAUUACUAUUACUAUGUAAGAAGCCCAGAAUCCAACUUGUCUAGUAGU